rnacentral:rRNA from 1 species
ACGAACGCUGGCGGCGUGCUUAACACAUGCAAGUCGAACGGUGAACCACCUUCGGGUGGGGAUCAGUGGCGAACGGGUGAGUAACACGUGGGCAACCUGCCCCUGACUCUGGAAUAACUUCGGGAAACCGAAGCUAAUACCGGAUACGACCUUGAGCGGCAUCGCUCGUGGUGGAAAGUUUUUCGGUCAGGGAUGGGCCCGCGGCCUAUCAGCUUGUUGGUGGGGUAAUGGCCUACCAAGGCGACUACGGGUAGCCGGCCUGAGAGGGCGACCGGCCACACUGGGACUGAGAUACGGCCCAGACUCCUACGGGAGGCAGCAGUGGGGAAUAUUGCACAAUGGGCGAAAGCCUGAUGCAGCGACGCCGCGUGAGGGAUGACGGCCUUCGGGUUGUAAACCUCUUUCGACAGGGAUGAAGCCUUCGGGUGACAGUACCUGUAGAAGAAGCACCGGCUAACUACGU